AUACGGAGGGUGCAAGCGUUAAUCGGAAUUACUGGGCGUAAAGCGCGCGUAGGCGGUUUGUUAAGUCGGAUGUGAAAGCCCCGGGCUCAACCUGGGAACUGCAUUUGAUACUGCUGAACUAGAGUAUGGUAGAGGGAAGUGGAAUUCCGGGUGUAGCGGUGAAAUGCGUAGAUAUCCGGAGGAACACCAGUGGCGAAGGCGACUUCCUGGACCAAUACUGACGCUGAGGUGCGAAAGCGUGGGUAGCAAACAGGAUUAGAAACCCCGGUAGUCC
rnacentral:rRNA from 1 species